GCUCUCCGUCUGUGUGUGAAUUGAGGGACGAAAAGAGGAGAAACGAAGAAAAAACUUGUGCUGUCGCAGAGCAAAGAGUCCUCUUCGGUGACUAAAUGCAGUGCUGUUUUGUGUUGAUGUAUGAUUGAACAGUUGUUAGAAAUGGAGUGUGAAGUAACCUUACCUGGUAGCACCUGGUAGAAGUGAACUUGAUCGAUUCGGACGAGUGUUUCGCCACUUUCUGGACUAUUCUGGGACGAGUCAUCAGUUCAACUGUGAUUCCCCACCACCGCUGCUGCCACGUGGAGGCCCUUGGUUCAACGGCAAACCACAUCACCGCCAUGCUGCACGGAGGCUCUUGAGUCAACAGGAUCACAGUGUGGAUACCAGCGUGGUAGGACAGGCUCAGUCCUGAGGAGUGACACCUUUGCACUUUAUUUUUUCUGAGAUCUCAGUAUUUUUUUUUUAAAUUCAUUUUUCUCUAUUUUUUUGCAUUUUUUCUAAAAAAAACUGUUUCUCAUCAGAAGACCCUGAAAGACAGUAAACAAACUUAGUAAACAACGAAAAACAGGGAAUAAAAAGGACAAUUUAACACAUUUAAAGGGAAAGGGUUUUUUUUGUCUGUCUGUCUGUCUUUAUUUUCUAAAUAUACCGGUCAGGUAAUUUUCAGUUGAUACUGUGAAUUUAUUUUUCCUUUCAUGUGGAAAAAAGUGUUCAAUGUGUGGAAUGUUUUAAGUUGAAGGAAAAGAAUUUGCAUAUAAAAACGGUUAAAAUACA